rnacentral:rRNA from 1 species
AUUGAACGCUGGCGGCAGGCCUAACACAUGCAAGUCGAGCGGAGCGGCGGACGGGUGAGUAAUGCUUAGGAAUCUGCCUGGUAGUGGGGGAGAACGUCCGGAAACGGGCGCUAAUCCCACAUACUAUCACGUGGACCUAGGUCGGAUUGGCUAGUUGGUGGGGUAAAGGGCUACCAGGGCGACGAGCCGUAACUGGUCUGGGAGGUGGAUCAGUCACACUGGGACUGAGACACGGUCCAGACGCCUACGGGAGGCAGCAGUGGGGAAGAUUGGACAAUGGGCGAAAGGCUGAUCCAGCCAUGCCGCGUGUGUGAAGAGGGUCUUCGGGUUGUAAAGCACUUUAAUUUGGGAGGCGUUACCAACAGAAUAAGCGCCGGCUAACUCCGUGCCAGCAGCCGCGGUAAUAC